GAGAUCAGGGGUAUGUAUCUUCAACUACAGAGGAAGGCUUUUUGGAGGAUGUUGACUCUAAAGUAAAACCCUAGGAGAGGAGUUAGCCUGAUGAAGGUGAAUGGGGGUGAGAGAGAAGAAGGAUCUUCCAGGCUAAGGAAAUGGCUGAGACCUGCAAGCAAGAGAGGUACAAAGCAUUUGGGGAAGCUUAAGACAUCUAGAUUGGAAGACAGGAAGACAGGAAGUGGUUUCUUCUAGCUCCCCUUAUGCUGAGUUAUGGAGAAAGAGUAUGCUGUUCUUGGCUCUCCUACCCCUUGUGCUGCUGUUUCAAGGCUGCAAAGGAAAUGAAGGGACAGAGACAGCCCAAGGUUGAGGCCUGAGAUUCAUAUAGACGCUGCUGCCAUCACACACAGAUGACACCAACCAGCCAGGCCAAAGCGGACUCAUGUUGCCCAUAAACACUGCAACUGCAAUCAUUUUCAGUCCCAAGAGGCCAAUGGUGGGGAUGGGGAUGUCAUUCAGUCAUUCUGCAUAUGUUGAGUGAAGAGUGGGUAUCCACUGAUGUGAUUCGCAGCCUCACUGGCGAGAUUUCUCUAGAACGAUGGUUCUCCAAGUAUAGUGCCUGAACCAGCAGCAUCAGCAACACCUGGGAACUUGUUAGAAAUGCAAAUUGUUUAUCCAUAAUACUGCUGAUGAGCAUUUGGUUGUUUCUAGAUUUUUGACUAUUAUAAAUAAAGAUGCUGUGAACAUUC